CACGGAGUUAGCCGGUGCUUAUUCAUACAGUACCUUCAGCUACCCUCACGAGAGUAGGUUUAUCCCUGUAUAAAAGAAGUUUACAAACCAUAGGUCCUUAGUCCUUCACGCGGGAUGGCUGGAUCAGGCUCUCACCCAUUGUCCAAUAUUCCUCACUGCUGCCUCCCGUAGGAGUCUGGUCCGUGUCUCAGUACCAGUGUGGGGGAUCACCCUCUCAGGCCCCCUAAAGAUCGCAGCCUUGGUGAGCCGUUACCUCACCAACUAGCUAAUCUUACGCGUGCCCAUCUCUAUCCGCCGGAGCUUUCAAUAUUAAUUGAUGCCAUCAAUAUAUUAUGGGUAUUAAUCUUCCUUUCGAAAGGCUAUCCCCCAGAUAAAGGCAGGUUGCACACGUGUUACGCACCCGUACGCCGCUCUCAUUAUCAGUUAGCAAGCUAACCAACAAAAUCCCGCUCGGCUUGCAUGUGUUAGGCCUCCCGCUAGCGUUCAUCCU
rnacentral:rRNA from 1 species